CUGGAGGUCACAGAGGGAACGCCUGAUUUGGGGGUGACUUCAUAUUGGACUGAUGCAGAUGGAAAUGUGGUGUUUGGCCCGAACACCCCAAAGGAAAAGAUGAAAACCUCAGUUACUGGAACAAAAAUGCAGAAGCGAAAGGAAUCUGUAACUAAGACUCUUAAAAUGGAAAAGGUUGAAGACAAUAAGGGGUCUGAAGCGCAGAAAGACGAGGGGAAGGUUGCAGUCGUUGCUGCAGUAGAGCCCAAAGCUUCAGAUUCAGAACAAACAGAAGAUACAAAAGAAGAGGUCCAGCCUGUGACUGAAGCCCCUGAGCAGCCUGCAGACACAGUGGAGGAGCCUGAAGCACCGGCUGAAACGCAGCCAGAAGCACAGAGUGAAUCUAGUGGAGAAAAGCAAUGAGUUUACUCACAUACGUACAUAUGCUACAAGUUUGAUGUCGGCCUUUGUGCCUAAUAUGAUUGAUGUGUUUUCAUUUAAUGUAACUUAGACGUUGCAAAUGACAACAAUAUUUUACAUUUGUGUACUAAAAUUAGAAUCUUAUGGAACUUUAUCUUAUGUUUUAUAUCCCAUUCUCAUAACAACACUUGUUUUUAUGGUUUGCCUGCUUUCCAUGUGGAUAUUUUGUAUAUCGUGUGUACCUUUUUCAUCCUAUUUACUUGAAUAAAGGCUCUGUUGGCAUAUUUAUUGGCAUACAAUUUAAUGACCACACUGGUUCGUAUAUACUGCCAGAAGACUUCGGGAUACAGAGUGACGCAGACGUUUACAGAGGUGAGGUACUCACUUGUUGGAGGGAAGAACAAAGCAUGGCAAAUUCUUGGGGUGAAACAGGGCAGAAUUAAUCCAAAUCAGCAAGUGUAAAGUUGUAGAGGUUCAUUUCAAUGUGAAGCAAGGAUGGCCACAGCUCCUUAUAUACAAACCUUUUUAAUUCAACUGUAUCUAACUAAAAUCAAAACAUGAUUUUAUGCCGUAUAUUUGGAAUAUAUUAACAAUACAGACACCAAACUGGAGGUCCUCAAUCUGAGAAAUCCCUGUGUGAAACAACCAGUAAUAGUCUGAGUCACAGCUGUUUAAUAGGGACCUGAAACUCCCCCACCAGAACUAGUGGAUGGUAUGAUUCACUUGUUCCUCCUUACUUUCAUUUAUAAGACAGCUGUGUGGCACACUUCCCUUCCUUUGUCAUGGUUCAGCAUAUUGUGUCGUCAAACUGCUGAACUGCCCUGGAGCAAAUCCCUGAAAGUCUCAUACCACCUACAGGGCUGCUGAUACUGACUGGGACCUGUACGGCAUCCGUUUUGGAUCAAAUCGUAUCAGUUAAAACUGGUUAAACAUGCUCUUGUAAACAAUCAGACAGUGUUACAAAAGGCAACAAAACAUAUCAGCAACAGUAGGCCUACAAAGGUCACAGUAGACCACUGUAGUAGAGUAAAUGUUAUUGUUGCAGCUGGUAUUUCUGGGGCUAAUUUAAUUAAGACUUAUUUUAACUGGUAAUAACAAGCUACAUCAUAAUUUAUUUGUCAAUAUUUUUUAAUAUUAAUGUGAAUUUAUAAACUAAUCAAAUUCAUUAUUUAACUAACAUUAAUCUAAUCCGAAAUAUGAAUGUAGUGGGGUAGAAAGUUUCACGGAUACACUCAAAUAAAAUCACUUUUAAUAAGAUUAUUAACUUCUGAGAGACAAAUGAGACUUUAGCAUUGCGGUGCAGGAAAAUCCCGACAUUCCUCAUAAAAUCCCGACAUUCCUCAUAAAAUCCCGACAUUCCUCAUAAAUGUGUAAUAAUUAACCUUGAUAAUUAACCUCAUCAUACGUCCUCCUGCGUUGUCAUCACGUGACCCCCCCCCCGGCGCUGCGGGGUCACGUGGUGCCGGUCGGCCUCCAACCAUUGGCUGUGAGCGGAGCAGCAGCAGAGACUCGACAACCUGCCCGGUGCAGGAACCGACAGUAGGUGCGACUGCCUGCGGGUGAGCCUCUACUCCAGCAGGUAGGAUGAUUUCACCCUGCUGUAUCAUUAGAUACUGUUACAGAUAAAUUAAAGUAGGAAGGAUUUGUGUGAGUGCUGGUUGCUGUGGCUCCUCUCGGUUGUAUAAUACCGGUAGUGGAGUCCUUCAAAGCCUCCUGAGGAGUCAUUUAUCGGUUUGUGUGUGAGUUUGAUACUAAAUAUCGUAUUUAAAGUGUUAUAAUGUAUGAACCGGGUAUUUACUGCUGCACGACGCGUUAUUGGUAGUUAUGUAAUUCAACUUUAUCAUAAAUGUCUCUUUAAAUGUCAAAUUAAACCUUCCAGUUGUGUCCUUAAACGCCUCAUAAGUGUUUAUGGCGAAAAUACUUAAUACUUACUUAUUAACAUUAUCUACAGGUGCAUCUGUACAGACUGGACUACAUCUUUAACUAUGUUAUUAACAUUAUGAGGGAGUUAGAUGGAUAUGUUAGAGCUAUUUAAUGUAUUUUCUGAUCUUAAAGUUUUCAAACUUCUUAUCAUUUGAUGGUGUU
rnacentral:lncRNA from 15 species